rnacentral:rRNA from 1 species
AUUGAACGCUGGCGGCAUGCUUUACACAUGCAAGUCGAACGGUAACAGGCCUUCGGGUGCUGACGAGUGGCGAACGGGUGAGUAAUGCAUCGGAACGUGCCCAGAGGUGGGGGAUAACGCAGCGAAAGCUGUGCUAAUACCGCAUGUGAUCUGAGGAUGCAAGCGGGGGACCAAGCAGCAAUGUUUGGCCUCGCGCCUCUGGAGCGGCCGAUGUCAGAUUAGGUAGUUGGUGGGGUAAAGGCCUACCAAGCCGACGAUCUGUAGCUGGUCUGAGAGGACGACCAGCCACACUGGGACUGAGACACGGCCCAGACUCCUACGGGAGGCAGCAGUGGGGAAUUUUGGACAAUGGGCGCAAGCCUGAUCCAGCAAUGCCGCGUGCGGGAAGAAGGCCUUCGGGUUGUAAACCGCUUUUGUACGGAACGAAAAGGCUCUGGCUAAUACCUGGGGCUGAUGACGGUACCGUAAGAAUAAGCACCGGCUAACUACGUG